rnacentral:rRNA from 1 species
GGUGAACGCUCGCGGUGUGGAUAAGGCAUGCAAGUCGUGCGGUUCUAAAACAGGGCUUGCUCUGUUUUAGAAUAGCGGCGAACGGGGCAGUAAUAUAUGCAUAACCUACCCUGAAGUCGACAAUAACUUCGAGAAAUCGAAGCUAAUGGUCGAUAGACCUAAGUUGUGCAAACAACUUAGGUAAAGCCGUAGGGCGCUUCAGGAAGGGUGCAUAUCCGAUCAGCUUGUUGGUGAGGUAAUGGCUCACCAAGGCUAAGACCGGUAGGGGGCCUGAGAGGGUGUUCCCCGCCAAGGGUACUGAGACACGGACCCUACUCCUACGGGAGGCAGCAGCCGAGAAUCUUCCGCAAUGGGCGAAAGCCUGACGGAGCGACACCGCGUGCCGGAAGAAGCCCUUCGGGGUGUAAACGGCUUUUGCAGGGGAGGAAGUUCAACUGUUUUCAGUUGAAUUGACAGUACCCUGCGAAUAAGGGACGACCAACUUCGUGCCAGCAGUCGCGGUAAGACGAAGGUCCCAAGCGUUACCCGGAUUCACUGGGUGUAAAGGGCAAGAAGGCGGUUUUCUAAGUCCUUCUUUAAAGUUCUUAGGCCUAACCUAAGAAAUGGGAAGGAUACUAGAAGACUAGAGACUGUCAGGGGUUAGCGGAACGUACGGUGUAGGGGUGAAAUCCAAUGAUAUCGUACGGAACUCCAAAGGCGAAGGCAGCUAACUAGGACAGUUCUGACGCUGAUCUUGCGAAAGCUAGGGGCGCGAACCGGAUUAGAGACCCGGGUAGUCCUAGCCGUAAACGAUGGAUGCUAACUCUAGGGAGUUUCGACCCUCUCUGGGGUAAAGCUAACGCGUUAAGCAUCCCACCUGGGGAGUACGGCCGCAAGGCUGAAACUCAAAGGAAUAGGCGGAAGUCUGAACAAGCGGUGGACCAUGUUGCUCAAUUCGAGAGUAAACGAAAAAUCUUACCCAGGUUUGACAUGUUAGUCUUAAUGCUCCCUUCGAAAGAAGAGAGAAUCCUGGCAUUGUCAGGAGGGCUAACACAGGUGUUGCAUGGCCGUCGUCAGCUCGUGGCGUGAGUCGUAACCUUAAGUGGCGCAACGAGCGCAACCCUUGUCCUGUGUUACACGUGUCACAGGAGACUGCCCUGAAUAACAGGGAGGAAGGAGGGGAUGACGUCAGGUCUGCAUGGCCUUUAUGCCUGGGGCUGCAAACAUGGUACAAUGCUGGGGACAAUGAGGCGCAAUGGCGUGAGCCGGAGCAAAUCUCAAAAACCCAGCUCAGUUCGGAUUGAAGGCUGAAACUCGCCUUCAUGAAGCUGGAAUCGCUAGUAAUCGCCGGUCAGCUAUACGGCGGUGAAUACGUUCUCAGACUUUGCACUCACUGCCCGUCAGGUCAGGGGAGUUGUCUUUACCUGAAGC